UACGGGGGGGGGCAAGCGUUGUUCGGAAUUACUGGGCGUAAAGGGCUCGUAGGCGGCCAACUAAGUCAGACGUGAAAUCCCUCGGCUUAACCGGGGAACUGCAUCUGAUACUGGAUGGCUUGAGUUCGGGAGAGGGAUGCGGAAUUCCAGGUGUAGCGGUGAAAUGCGUAGAUAUCUGGAGGAACACCGGUGGCGAAGGCGGCAUCCUGGACCGACACUGACGCUGAGGAGCGAAAGUGUGGGGAGCGAACAGG
rnacentral:rRNA from 1 species